rnacentral:rRNA from 1 species
UACGUAGGUGGCAAGCGUUGUCCGGAUUUACUGGGCGUAAAGAGCGCGCAGGCGGUCGGCCAAGUCGAGUGUGAAAGCCCCCGGCUCAACUGGGGAGGGUCAUUCGAUACUGGUCGACUCGAAGGCAGGAGAGGGGAGCGGAAUUCCCGGUGUAGUGGUGAAAUGCGUAGAUAUCGGGAGGAACACCAGUGGCGAAGGCGGCUUCCUGGCCUGUUCUUGACGCUGAGGCGCGAAAGCUAGGGGAGCAAGCGGG